AACGCACAUUGCGCCCUUUGGCAUUCCGAAGGGCAUGCCUGUUCGAGCGUCAUUAUCAACCCUCAAGCCUGGCUUGGUGUUGGAUUAGACCCCCCUCGCCGGGGGUCGAUCCCAAAGAUAAUGGCGGGUCGACGUGAGACCUCGGUACAAUGAGCUCGUUAAACAGCAUGUAUCGUCAGGGAUCACUCGGCCUGGCCUAACCCCAAAAUUCUACAAGGUUGACCUCGGAUCAGGUAGGAAUACCCGCUGAACUUAA
rnacentral:misc_RNA from 1 species